rnacentral:rRNA from 1 species
CCUACGGGUGGCAGCAGUGGGGAAUAUUGGGCAAUGGACGCAAGCCUUACCCAGCAACGCCGCGUGAAGGAAGAAGGCUUUCGGGUUGUAAACUUCUUUUAUGAGGGAAGAGCAGAAGACGGUACCUCUUGAAUAAACCACGGCUAACUACGGUCCAGCAGCCGCGGAAAUACGUAGGUGGCAAGCGUUUUCCGGAUUUACUGGGGGUAAAGGGCGGGCAGCCGGGAAGACAAGUCAGAUGUAAAAUCCCGCGGCUCAACCGAGGAACUGCAUGUGAAACUGUUUUUCUUGAGUACCGGAGAGGUCAUCGGAAUUCCUGGUGUAGCGGUGAAAUGCGUAGAUAUAAGGAAGAACAUCAGUGGCGAAGGCGGAUGACUGGACGGCAACUGACGGUGAGGCGCGAAAGCGUGGGGAGCAAACAGGAUUAGAUACCCUUGUAGUC